UGAGUAUGAACGUGAGUGAGUGGCUGUGAGUGUUAGUAGGUGUGAGUAUGAACGUGAGUGAGUGCCUAUGAGCGUGAGUAUGAACGUGAGUGAGUGGCUGUGAGUGUUAGUAGGUGUGAGUAUGAACGUGAGUGAGUGCCUAUGAGCGUGAGUAUGAACGUGAGUGAGUGGCUGUGAGUGUUAGUAGGUGUGAGUAUGAACGUGAGUGAGUGCCUAUGAGUGUGAGUAGGCGUGAGUAUGAACGUGAGUGAGUGCCUAUGAGUGUGAGUAGGCGUGAGUAUGAACGUGAGUGCCUAUGAGUGUGAGUAGGCGUGAGUAUGAACGUGCGUGAGUGCCUAUG